UCGGCCGGAGUAUCCUGCGGCGGCGGCCGCGGAGCGCACCGGCGAUGGACCCGCCUGCCGCUCCUGUCUCCCGCCGGCGGGCUCGAGCCCGCCAGCCACCGCCGCCGCCGCGGGAGGCGCUGCCCACUGCAGGCUUGGAAGAGGAGCUGUACGACUGCGUGGACUACAACUACCUGCGUGACUUCCCGGCCUCCGGGGCUGGCCGCAGCAAGGGCCGGACGCGGCGCGAGCAGCAGCUACGCACCAACUACACGGUGCCCGGCGGCCACGAGCGCAAGGUGGCGCAGAUACUGAUGAAUGGGCAGCGGAAGCGGCGCCAGCGCCAGCUGCAACCGCGCCCGCGCUCGCGCCUCGCCUGAGCUGGAAAGUGAAAAGGGAGGUCAGAAGUUCAAGGCCAGAGGCCGGAAUGAUGGCUGAGCAGUUAAGAGCACUUGCUGCUCUUGCAGAGACCAACCCCUACCUCGGGUGCCUCAUAUCCAUCUGUAGCUUGAGUUCAAGGGGAUCCAACACCAUCUUCUGGCCUCCAAGGAUACUGCCUGCACAUCGUACAUAUUUGGGGAACCUGUGAGAGACCUGUUAAAAGUAUUUUCCAACUGUGAGGUUCUCCAAGUUGGUCAGCAGGACUUUUUGACAGUGUUUUAAGUUUACCGCUCCAAUCUUUUUCUCACUAAUUAAUUUUUAAGUAAGUAGUUUCCAAGUUGGUAUGCCUUCUUAGCGUUUUCAAUUAAAAGAGAACAGCAAGAACGCAUUUUAGCUCUUCUGGGUUUUCCUCCAGCCCCACUCCUCCUCCCCGCCCAUUAUCGUGGUGGUAACUGGCUUCCAGUUCACAGGAAAUUGGGCUCUGAAGUAUAAAGAAGAGAUCAAGAGACCAGGGAUGCAAUUUGUUUGCUAAAGUGAUGGCGACAGAAGCCUGAGGACCCAAGUUUGAUUUCUGAAAGCCAUGUUUUUUAAGAGCGGGGUGUGGUGGCCCACACUUAAAAUCCCAGCAUUUGGGAGGUAGAGACAGAUUCCUGGGACUCACUGGCCAGCCAGCUUUAGAUGUUCCUGGCCAGUGAGAAACACUGCCUUCAAAAAAAAAAAAGAUGUGUCCUAAAGAAGCAUACCUGAUGAUAUAAACAUGCAGGCACAAACACACAGUGAAUUGGGGAAAUGUGGCUCUUCCUAGUUUCUAGGGUCCUUGGUCCACCAGUCCUGAAGAACAAGGGAGCAGAAGUGACGAACGGGGGUGGCCUGUGGGCACAAAUGGAAAUGUCCUUCCAGGACCAGCCUCGGGGAGGCAGCUCCAUUUUACUCAGAGUGAAGGAGGGUGUCUUUAAUAUCUCAAAUCUCAGCCCUCUGGAGGCAGAGGCAAGCAGAUUUCUAUGGGUUCGAGGCUAGUCUACAUAUACGUGAGUUCCAGGCCAGCCAAGGCAGCACAGAGCAACCCUCGAACAUGACAGAAAGGUAGCUGAAGUGACAUACAGCAAGCACUCCGUUCCUCUGCGGCUUCUGCGUCGCGCUCCUCCCGGAGUUCCUGCCCCGGCCUCCGUCAGCGAUGGACUGUGACUUGUAAGUGUAAGUCAAAUAAACCCUUUCCUCCUC